rnacentral:rRNA from 1 species
GGAGUCUAUGAAUCGAAGGUGUCAGAAGCAAAUAGACAGCAGAACAAGACGACAGCCAGGACUAACUGCAGGGCUAAAAUGAGGCUGAAGAGGGAAAAGGAUGGAACACUUGUCGUAAAAGAGAUAGUCUGGGAACACAGCCACAGGCUACAGCUCACCCCCGAAAUGCUUGUCUUCUUGCACUCCCACAAAAACUUUGACAAAAAAAUCUUGGAGUACGUCAAGUACCUGCAGUUCAAAGGCAUUGAACACGUGCAAAUCAUGAGCAUACUGACAACGGAUGACCCCGGUAGCUACUUCCUCGAAAUGAAUGUCAAAGACCUGAUUAACCUGAAAGCAAAGAAUUCAAGGCUGGAUGAUGUGGACGAUGUCCUAAAGACUGUCAACUUCUUUAGGGAGAUGAAAGCUAUAAACAGGGAAUUCUUCUGUGACAUGCAACUCGAAGCAAGCUGUCGAGCGGCCUAUCAGGACUUUGGUGACUGCGUAACAUUUGACACCACAUAUAAGACCAACAAGUACCAUAUGCCACUUGGGGUGUUUGUAGGUACUAACAACCACUUACAGACUACAUUCUUUGGUUUUUCCCUAAUAAGAGAUGAGGAUGCAGAUUCAUUCAGAUGGUUGUUCAAGAAAUUUUUAAGGUGCAUGAGAGGGAAGGCUCCUACAUGCAUCCUCACAGACCAGUGCUCGGCAAUGGCUUUGGCGAUCCCAGAUGCUUUCAAAAACAUAGUACACAAGCUGUGCCGCUGGCACAUUAUGAAGAAGUACAGGGAACACCUCGCAUACCUGUACAACCUGCACGAAGACUUUAAGGAUGAAUUCACAACAAUCCUCAACCCCCUCAUGCCAACUGAGUUUGAGGCUGCCUGGAAAAGACUCAUGGAUAAGUACAACCUCCAUGAUGAUGCCACGAUGGUGGGCAUGUGGAAUGAUCGUGAGAGAUGGAUAUCAGCAUACUUCAAAGAAAUUUUCUGCGCCAAAAUGACAUCCACACAACAAAGUGAGAGCAUGAACUAUGUGCUCAAGAAUAACUUCGUAAGUGAGAGACAAAACCUCCACCGGUUUGUCAGCCAGGUAAACUCCUGCGUCAAAACAAGGAGGCAGACAGAGAACCAGGAGACAAUGGGUAACCGGGUAUAG